GACGAACGCUGGCGGCGUGCCUAAUACAUGCAAGUCGAACGCAGUGGGGACGGGUGAUGAACACGUGGGUAACCUCCCAUCAGAGGGGAUAACACUUGGAAACAGGUGCUAAACCGAUACUGAUGGAUGGACACGCGGUGGAGUAGCUAGUUGGUGAGGUAACGGCUCACCAAGGCCGCGAUGCAUAGCGGGCCGGAGAGGGUGAGCGGCCACACUGGGACUGCGACACGGCCCAGACUCCUACGGGAGGCAGCAGUAGGGAAUCUUCGGCCAUGGACGAAAGUCUGACCGAGCCACGCCGCGUGAGUGAAGAAGGUUUUCGGAUCGUAAAACUCUGUUGUUAGAGAAGCGGUAUCUAACCAGAAAGCCACGGCUAACUACGUGCCAGCAGCCGCGGUAAUUC
rnacentral:rRNA from 1 species